ensembl:snRNA U6 U6 spliceosomal RNA
GUGUUGCUUUAGCAGCACAUAUACUAAAUUUGGAGUGAUACAGGACGAUUAACAUAGCCCCUGUGCAAGGAUGACAUGCAAAGAAAAUCAGUUUUAGCAGGACUU